AAUCGUAUAUUCACUGACAAACUCGGAUCUACAAUGGAAGUCUACAUCGACGAUAUGCUCGUCAAGUCACUGCAUGCCGAGGACCAUUUCGCCCACUUGCAAGACUGCUUCAAGACGUUGAACGAACACGGAAUGCAGCUUAACCCAGCAAAAUGCACUUUCAGGGUUAUGUCAUGCGAAUUUCUGGGAUACAUCGUAAAUCAAAGAGGCAUUGAAGCGAAUCCCAAGAGGAUCUCGGCCAUCCUCGAUCUCCCGAACCCAAAGCACAGUCGUGAAGUCCAGCGCCUCACCGGUCGAAUUGCAGCACUUAACAGGUUUACUCGCGUUCAACCGACAAAUGCAUUUCCCUUCUUCGAGUUACUGCGAGGAAAUAAGAGAUUCAUCUCGGACGACAAGUGGGAAAAUGCAUUCAACCAACUCAAGCAUUACCUUACUAUCACGCCGAUCCUCUCGAAAUUGGAAGCAGACGACAUACUCACUCUCUACAUUGCGAUCACAUCCAUCGCCGUCAGUAGCGUCCUUAUCCGCGAAAAUCGUGGCGAGCAGAAACCUAUCUUUUACACAAGUAAACGCAUGACCGAGCCCAAAACCCGUUGCCCGACCCUCGAGAAAAUGGCACUUACGGUGGUGCACUCACCGAGAAAACUCCGCCUUUACUUUCAAUCACACACGAUUAAAGUCCUCUCUAACAAGCCCCUCCGGACGGUCAUGCAAAACGCCAACCAUUCUAAACGACUAAUGAAGUGGGCGAUAUGACUUAGCGAACACGACAUCGUGUACAAAAAUAGGACAACAGCUAAAUCCCAAGUGCUUGCUGAUUUCCUAAUUGAGCUCACACCAGAACUCAAACAAGAUCUCGUCGUCCCAACUCGCAACUGGAUUAUGCAUGUCGACGGUUCCUCCACAAACAAAGGUUCAGGAGCAAGAGUUCAACUCCAGUCCUCAACAGGCGAGGUAAUAAGGCAAUCUUUUAACUUUGGUUUUGUUGUUUCCAAUAAUGAGGCUGAGUAUGAGUCUCUCCUCCCCGGUCUGCUCCUCGCCAAAACCGUCAAGGCCAAGCGACUAAGCGCCUAUUGGGACUUUCAGCUCGUCGCCAGCCAGUACAAUGGCGAGUACUCACAACAAACGUAUGUAUGCAUAUCUUAAGCUCGUCCAAGACUUCAUCAAAGACUUUGAAUUCUUCGAAGCUCGUCCACGAGGAGAAAAUGUCUGCGUCGAUGCUCUGGCAGCCUUUGCAUGCAAACUACACGACCAAGUAAAACAGACGAUUCCCAUCCGCAAAAUCGAGAGCCCCUGCGUUACAAUACCGACCGAGAAGAACACAUUUGUCGCUUCAGUGACAACUGCAACCGACAUAGAACUUGACUCCACCACAGACGAAGCUCCUGACUGGCGUACUGAUCUCAUCAAGUAAUUGGCGCACGACACCGUUUUAGACGACAAAUGGCUAGCACGAAGAUUGAAGGCACGUAGUGCCCAUUACGUCGUUAUCGACGGCGAACUCCAUCGCUGGAAAGCUAACAAGGUCCUCCUCAAGUGCAUCCAUGGUGACGAAAUGCGCCUGGUCAUGGCUGAAAACCACGAGGGUGUGGCGGGUAACCACUCCGGAAAACGAGCUCUAGCUCUCAAAGUCCAAAGCCAAAGCUUCUACUGGCCUACCUUUAACGAUGACUGUGAAUCUUAUGCCAAACGCUGCGACAAAUGUCAAAGACACGCACCUACGAUCCAUUGUCCUACCGAGCAACAACUGCGUACACUCACGGCGCCGUAUCCAUUCAUGCGCUGGGCAAUGAACAUCACCGGGCCAAAGCUAAAUUCACGCCAGAAACGUUUUUUCCUUGUCCUUACUGAUUACUUCACGAAGUGGAUCGAGGCAUAAGCUUUCACUAACGUUACAGACAAUGAGGUUCAGAAGUUCAUCUGGCGUAACAUCAUCUGCCGUCAAUGGUUCACAGUUCAUCUCGCACAAGUUUUGGGAAUUUUGCGACAUGUGGAGGAUCCGCCUCAAAACGCCGGCACCAUGCUACCCGCAAAGUAACGGUCAAGCCGAGUCUUUUAACCACACGAUCAUCGAAAGACUCAAGAAACUUAAAUAAGGUUGCUGAGCUGACGAGUUAGACGGCGUCCUUUGGUCUCAUCGCACCACGCCCCACUCGGCGACUAAAUGCACCCAAUUUUCAAUGGCUUACGGAGUCGAAGCAAUGAAUCCCGCAGAAGUUAACGUCACCAGCCUCCGUAGGUCUUGGAUGCCUCAGCACGUCGAACUCAACCAAAGCAUGUUAAUCGACGCUCUCGAUGCGAUAGAGGAACAUCGCGACCAAGCAUUGCUCCGCAUCCAGAACUACCAGCACCAAAUCAAGAGCUAUUACAACAAGAAAGUCAAGUGCGUCCUCUUGAACAAUGCGAUCUCGUUCUCAGGAAGGUCUUCGAGAACACUAGGGAAUGGAAGGCCGGCAAACUCGGGACUAACUGGGAAGGACCGUACAAAACUACAAGCACCAAAACGAGAGCUAUUACAACAAGGAAGUCAAAUCGCAUCCUCUUGAACAAGGCGUUCUCGUUCUCAGGAACGUCUUCGAGAACACUAAUUAGGAAGGACUGUACAAGAUCACCCAAGUGAUUAAACCCGGAGUGUACCGCCUCGAAACUUCAACUAGCGAAGCAGUCCCACAGGCAUGGAACUCCAUGCAUCUCAAGCGUUACUCCCCUUAGGUUCUAUGCGAGCAAGCAGGCAACGAUGUUCCAAUAAUCACAUAAUCGAGUAAGUGCACCCCUCGAGUCACUCGUACCCGAUUAUGCAAAAAAAAAAAGUUGAGUAAGUGCACCUCCCGGGUCACUCUUACUCGACUUCGGCGAACUACGAAUGGCUUGAUCCCUUUCAGGUACGUAGGCAGCCUUAACCGGUGCAGCUAUAACAAACAAAAACUCACAUCGAGUAAGUGCACUCCCAGAGUCACUCUUACUCAACCAAAACGAACUACGAACGACUUGAUCCUUUUUCAAGGUAUGUAAGCAGCCUUAACUGGUGCAUCUAAAACAUACAAAAAAAGGAUUGAGCAAGUGCACCUUCUGGGUCACUCUUACUCGAUCCAAGCGAACCAUUAAUGGCUUGAUCCUUUUCAAAGACGAAAUAGCUUAAGUCCUAAACGGGAUCGUCGAGAAAUCACUAGGGAAAAACUGCCAAAGCCCCGCAUUUGAUUCCGAAAAUGGAAAAAACAUAGAUCUGCAUAAGAAGCGUCCGAAUAUAUUACAACAAGGCCCCAUUGGGAAAAGUAAAAACGAAAAUAGGAUUACGAGAGACAAGAGAGAUAAAGGGUGUUCGGUACGUCCUUCUGGAACGGUUGCCUCCUUUGCCUCAGCAGACUCAGGGCGAGUAGCAGCUGCAUCCACCUUUUUACUCUCAACAUUGGUAUCUGCCUCCUUUUAUUUCUCUCCUAAUUCGUCUCCUUGAUUAACAAGGAUAGGAGGGAGCGAGUCGCCAAUCUCGUCUCCCUCUUCGUCCGAAGGCCCAUCAGAAAUUACAAGUGGAGGAUCCCCCUCCAAAGGAACCUUAGGCAAUGCAACCUUCUCCGGAAGUGGUAGAGUCUGUCCCAAUUGAUCAACAUCCCCAGCGACCUUAGUUGGGGGCUCAGUCUCAGAGUUAAGUUGUUCGCUUUCCGAACGUUGGAGGCGAGCUGCAGUCUCAGGAUCGAACAUGAGCGAACCAUUAAUGGCUUGAUCCUUUUCAAAGACGAAAUAGCUUAAGUCCUAAACGGGAUCGUCGAGAAAUCACUAGGGAAAAACGGCCAAAGCCCUGCAUUUGAUUCCGAAAAUGGAAAAAACAAAGAUCCGCAUAAGAAGCGUUCGAAUAUAUUACAACAAGGCCCCAUUGGGAAAAGUAAAAACGAAAAUAGGAUUACGACAGACAAGAGAGAUCAAGGAUGUUCGGUACGUCCUUCUAGAACGGUUGCCUCCUUUGCCUCAGCAGACUUAGGGCGAGUAGCAGCUGCGUUCACCUUUUUACUCUCAACAUCGGUAUCUGCCUCUUUUGAUUUCUCUCCUAAUUCGUCUCCUUGAUUAACAAGGAUAGGAGAGAGCGAGUCGCCGAUCUCGUCUCCCUCUUCGUCCGAAGGCCCAUCAGAAAUCACAAGUGGAGGAUCCACCUCCAAAGGAACCUUAGGCAACGCAACCAACCUUAGGCAACGCAACCUUCUCCUCUUGAGAUAUGAUCCUGAAAACGAUGUAUCCACUCGAGAUUGAGAUCAGGCCAAAGACGGUGACUUAACGUAGAGAGAGUCUGCGCGUCUUCAAAGAAGUUCUUUGGGUACGCGAUCGUAUUAGGAUGGCAGACUGCAAAACAGAACAAGGAAACGAUUAGAUUGGCAAGUAAAAGAUAGAACCUUACGCGACGAAUCACUAUCUACUAAUUCUACGGUUCCAAAUUACGCGAAAGUUCUCUGUUGGAGGCUCCGCAAAAGCAUAUUCAUCCGACUUGACGUAGAAGUAGAAACGCUGCCAGCGCUUCGUCUUGUUCGGAUGACCAGUCAGAAUGUUAUAACUAGGACACAUCUUCAGCGAGAACAACCCAGGCCGCAGAACUUUCCAGAGGUUAACUCUUCGAACGACCUUACACUCAGCGAGAUAUUGACCUCAGCAGCGAUCACCAUUAGCGCAACAGCGAUUCGGUACGAUCUGUUCAUGAAUUGACAUAUGGCAACGUCUCGCCGAAAAGCAUAGGACGUCACCAGUCGUGGGAUCGGGAACCACCGUUUUGUAUCCUCCCGGAAGUACGAUUCAUAGAGGCAGUGAUAGCCAACUGGAGAGGACCAUAGUCUCUGCUGGCUAAAAGGGAUAAUGUAGGUUACUCCAACCCCUCUGCUUUCUCGCAACACCUUCCUGACGCUGCUGUGAGUAGAACACGUCUCGACUACUUUCUCCCAAUCUUGCCCUUCAGCAUAUGGAUCGUGAAGAGCUUCAGGAGGAAAAGCAUGAAGUUCUUCUAAUAAGUCGCCUUCGUGAUAGCACGUUGGCCUGCAGUUUUGCAACUCGGGACGCCACAUCCGAGGAAUUCUCAAUUGAACGAGUCUCCUUCUCUUUAAAGGAUGCGAUUCACUCGGCCCAUCAUUUCCUGAACCUAUGAGCCAACGUCUUGUUAUCGGUGUCCCUCAUCGCAUCGCGAUGAAGCAAACUGAAGUUGUCUAGAGGACUACUGUUCGUUGUCACAUCCUUAUCUAGAUCGUUGCUAAAGACGACAGCUUUCCCUUUUUCCUCACGAGACAGACAAUUAUUCGGCGGCAUAAUUCGCGAUGAAGGAACAGAGAACACACUAUGGCGGACUUAGAGAGAGAAAUAAAUCUAGAGAGAAGAGAGAGAGAAGCUACCUGAGGAAAUGCAGAAAAGUUAGCCACCGCAGAAAAAGUCCAUCUAUUUAUAGCAAAGACUAGGACACACAUCUCGAAGUGCAAUAAUUACACCUAAAAGGAUUUAGGAGCGCCUAAGUGGGCCUAAAACCCCAAAGAUCUUCUCCAUUCGCGACGGUUCCGCUUCUCGAAGAACCGGAGUCCAAUCAGAGAUAACCGACUAAACCAAGCUAACUGGAGUAGACCGAUAUAGGUUUGGUAUGCAAUCAUAUUCAUAUGAAUUCGAUAACUAGAGAAAAAGGUCAAACAAAAGAGAGGCAGACAAGAUUGGUCGUAUUAUGCGACUAAACCACGUCCCCCGAUGCGAAAAACAACGUUCGUGCUUCGACAAACUAAGGAGAGAAGCGAGUAAAAUUUCGCCAUUCAACGAGUCGAAAGGAGACGAGCAGAAGUCACAACAUUAAGCAAGUAAAAUUCAUUUUGUCAGCGCGUUUGAAGAGGCGAGCAGAUUUCCCUUUUGGAUGCGGGUCUACAUCGUCUGCGACCUUACUCGUCGAAAGAGACGAGAAGAAGUCGCAGCAUUAAGCGAGCAAAAUUCCUUUUAUCAACGCGUUUGAAGAGGCGAGCAUAUUCCCCUUUUGAAUGCAAAUCUACAUCGUCCGCGACCUUACUCGUCGAAGGAGACGAGAAGAAAUCGCAGCAUUAAGCGAGCAAAAUUCCUUUUGUCAACGUGUUUGAAGAGGCGUGCAGGUUUUCUUUUGGAUGCAAGCUAACUUCGUCUAGGUCCCUACUCGUCAAAGGAGGUGAGAAGGAUUCCCAGCAUUAAGCGAGCAAACUUCGCCAUUCAAUGCGUCGAAAGGAGGCGAGUAGAACUCGCGAUACCAGGCAAAUGAAUCUCUUCUUUCAACCCGUUUGAAGAAGCGAGCAGAAUUCGCAUUGAUGGCCGAGUAAGUUUCAUUCCCUUCGGCACCUCGGACGUUGCGAGUAAAGCGCGUCUAAACGAACAAACAAGCGUGAAGCAUUUGUGGCAAGAUUUCUGCAUUACCGGGUUAAACGGAUCUUCUAUCCGUUGAGCCACUCACAUCUACUUCAUUCAGAGUUGGUGGCAUCACUCCAAAUGAACUGGGGGAACUUACUGUAGAGGAUAGAUUCCAUCAUCUACAAGACCCAUUGAAUAGAUAGAUCCGGCCCGCCAGAUCACUGAAAUCCAGUUAGAUUAGGGCGAACAAUGACGUUGUCGUGCUCUUGGUCACCAGAUGGGCCGAACAGGAGCAUCAUACCCAACCAUCCGACCCAAUGAUCCUGUAGCUCGGCCCAUGUCGAAGCCCAUGAGGUCACACACUCGUUAGGGCGAAUCACAGGAGAGAAGGAACUAUAAAAGGAGAAGGGAGAGGAACGAAGCAAGGGAUUGACACUUUUACACACUCACUAGGCGGCUACAACUAGGGUUUCAUCUCUCUCUAUCCGCUACCUUGUAUUGUUUUCCGGUCAGUUCUUCGAGUACCGGCUUGUUCUCACCGUUUACUCUCCCUUUGUAACCGCCAAACUCUUUCUUUACAAUAAAACGUCUUUGUUAAAUCCACAAACGAGUUUUGUCUCUCUUUCUGCUAGUUUCCGACCGAACUCGGUUCAAACAAAGGAGGAAGAAGCAGAUUGUUCAGUCAUGGAACUGGGAGCCUCAGAGGGGGACGAUGCUUAAUUUUGAUUGCAAACUCUCUUGAGAUCAACCUGUCCUUGCUCUUUUCAUGCCUUCUCUCAGGAUAAGUCCAUCUAUGAGGCUGUGGAGAAUGCCUUCAUUUUAAUCUACAUAAGGAAAAAUCCAGUUGAAAUGGCCAAACAGUUGUUGAACCUUGCCAUAGAUUCGAAUAUAGGAGAUCAAGCAGCAUUAGAGUUUAUUGUUAAUGCUUUAGUGUCCAAAGGUGAAAUUUCUAGCAGCAUGACUUCGGCUCUGUGGUACUUCUUUUGGUUUAACAUCAAUGGGACAACUGCUGAGCAAAGUCGUGCGGCUCUAUCUAUCCUUUGCAUGGCUGCAAAGUCGUCCUCUAGGAUUCUUGGAUUCCAUCAAAAAGGACAAACUGAUGGAGGCUCUGGUUGAGAAGCUUGGCAAUAGAUUUAGCGGAGUCACAAAAACAAAACAGUGGGAAUACAUUUUGUAUUCUCUUGCGUUGCUGACGUUCACCGAGAAGGGAAUCAAAAAGCUUAUCGAGUCAUUCCAAUCCUACGAGUACGCUCUAGCAGAGGAUCUAGUGACAGAAAAUUGUAGAAGCAUAAUCAAUAAGUUUGCGAAACAGAACUUAAAGCGUGCAUGGAAGAGUUUGAGGAGAAGCUCAACAAGUUCCUCAUGGAAAAGAAAGAAAAAGAAGAAACCGCAAGAAACGCUCAGGUUCAUGUAGAGAAAGCCAAGAAUAUGGAAUCUCUUGUUUUUUUUUUUUUUUUUUUUGAGAAAAGGGCAAUGGAAUCUCUUCUUGUCCCCAACAAAGUGAAAGAAGAACCUGUACAAGAAUAUGAUCAAGAUGAAGGUUAGUAAUGUUGCAUCAUGGCUAUAGCAUAGUUCAUUGUACCAGACGGAUAAUCUUUAUCUCUCUCCUCUCUUUCUAAAGCACCCUUUUAGUGUGGUUCUUAGAUGCUUCAGACAGUGAAAUUGUGGAUCCAGCUAUGGAAGAAGCAGGGAAUAAUUUGAAAGCAUCCAACUCCGAGGAAGAGACAGAUUCUGAGCGAAGUCAUACCACGAAUCCUCUCAUUCCUUAAACCAAAACACCAGUGGCGGGGAAGAAAGCGAAUCAGAAAGCAGGAACGUCAAGAGAGGAAACCGUACAGAAUCAUCGAGACACCUCAGAAGAAGCCUGAGGUCAUCAAGUAGAACGCAAAGAAACUGUGUUCAGGGCAGGGCAGGGCAGAGAGAGUGUGUGGUUAAGUUACAACUAGGUCUGUUUUUGGUCACUGCUUUCGUUUUCGUUUUUUUUUGCUCUAUGAUGCUGUAGACAUUGAAGAAUCAAUCAUAUCUAUUUGUCUAUGGUAAUACGAUAAAUGUUCAGCUGUGAUAAACUUGUAGCGACUACGUCCUGAAUUGUUUUUUGUAGCAA